UACGUAGGGUGCGAGCGUUAAUCGGAAUUACUGGGCGUAAAGUGUGCGCAGGCGGCAGAGCAAGUCGAGUGUGAAAGCCCCGGGCUUAACUUGGGAAUUGCGCUCGAAACUACUUUGCUGGAGUGUGGCAGAGGAAGGUGGAAUUCCUGGUGUAGCGGUGAAAUGCGCAGAUAUCAGGAGGAACACCGGUGGCGAAGGCGGAUCUCUGGGCCAUUACUGACGCUGAGGAGCGAAAGCGUGGGGAGCGAACAGG
rnacentral:rRNA from 1 species